AGUGAACGCUGGCGGUAUGCCUAACACAUGCAAGUCGAACGGCAGCACAGUAAGAACUUGCUCUUACGGGUGUCGAGUGGCGGACGGGUGCGGAAUACACCGGAAUAUACUUUUUCGUGGGUGAUAACGUCGGGAAACGUACUCUAAUACCACAUACGACCUACGUGUGUAAGCAGGGGAUCUACAGACCUUGCGCGAUGGAAGGAGCCGAUGUUGGACUAGCUAGUUGGCAGGGUAGAGGCGUACCACGGCCACGAUCCGUAGCUGGUAUGAGAGGAUGAUCAGCCACACUGGCACGAGGCAGCGGCCCAGACUCCUACGGGAGGCAGCAGUGGGGAAUAUUGGACAAUGGGCGAGAGCCUGAUCCAGCACUGCCUCGUGAGUGAUGAAGGCCUUAGGGUUGUAAAGCUCUUUUACCCGGGAUGAUAAUGACAGUACCGGGAGAAUAAGCUCCGGCUAACUCCGUG
rnacentral:rRNA from 1 species